rnacentral:rRNA from 1 species
UACAGAGGUCCCAAGCGUUGUUCGGAUUCACUGGGCGGAAAGGGUGCGUAGGUGGUGAGGGAAGUCGGAUGUGAAAUCUCCGAGCUCAACUCGGAAAUGGCAUUGGAAACUACCUUGCUCGAGGGUUGGAGGGGGGACUGGAAUGCUUGGUGUAGCAGUGAAAUGCGUAGAUAUCAAGCGGAACACCAGUGGCGAAGGCGAGUCCCUGGACAACUCCUGACACUGAGGCACGAAAGCUAGGGGAGCAAACAGG